rnacentral:lncRNA from 10 species
UAUAAAUACCUGUGCAAUCAUUUAAGGAUGCUGUUAUAACUUGCUAUCACAGGAUUCAGGUCCAAGAACCCUCUCUUAGGAUCUGCACUGGGACCUACCCCUUUUUGGCAACAUGUUCUUGGCAACCACGAAGGGACUAUCCUGAGGAGAUCCCUGACCCAAAGGAAAUAGACUGCAGAACCAAUUGGCUGACUUUGGGUA